UGGGGAAUAUUGGGCAAUGGGCGAAAGCCUGACCCAGCAACGCCGCGUGGAGGAAGAAGGUUUUCGGAUUGUAAACUUCUGUCCUCAAGGACGAAAAAAAUGACGGUACUUGGGGAGGAAGCCCCGGCUAACUACGUGCCAGCAGCCGCGGUAAUACGUAGGGGGCAAGCGUUGUCCGGAAUUACUGGGCGUAAAGGGAGCGUAGGCGGUCUUUUAAGUUAGAUGUGAAAUACCCGGGCUUAACUUGGGAGGUGCAUCUAAAACUGGGGGACUUGAGUGUAGGAGAGGAAAGUGGAAUUCCUAGUGUAGCGGUGAAAUGCGUAGAUAUUAGGAGGAACACCAGUGGUGAAGGCGACUUUCUGGACUAUAACUGACGCUGAGGCUCGAAAGCGUGGGGAGCAAACA
rnacentral:rRNA from 1 species